CCCGUACACAAAAAUGCACAUGCUGUGAGCUCGAUGAGUAGGGCGGGACACGUGGUAUCCUGUCUGAAUAUGGGGGGACCAUCCUCCAAGGCUAAAUACUCCUGACUGACCGAUAGUGAACCAGUACCGUGAGGGAAAGGCGAAAAGAACCCCGGCGAGGGGAGUGAAAAAGAACCUGAAACCGUGUACGUACAAGCAGUGGGAGCCUCUUUUAUGGGGUGACUGCGUACCUUUUGUAUAAUGGGUCAGCGACUUAUAUUCUGUAGCAAGGUUAACCGAAUAGGGGAGCCGAAGGGAAACCGAGUCUUAACUGGGCGUUAAGUUGCAGGGUAUAGACCCGAAACCCGGUGAUCUAGCCAUGGGCAGGUUGAAGGUUGGGUAACACUAACUGGAGGACCGAACCGACUAAUGUUGAAAAAUUAGCGGAUGACUUGUGGCUGGGGGUGAAAGGCCAAUCAAACCGGGAGAUAGCUGGUUCUCCCCGAAAGCUAUUUAGGUAGCGCCUCGUGAAUUCAUCUCCGGGGGUAGAGCACUGUUUCGGCAAGGGGGUCAUCCCGACUUACCAACCCGAUGCAAACUGCGAAUACCGGAGAAUGUUAUCACGGGAGACACACGGCGGGUGCUAACGUCCGUCGUGAAGAGGGAAACAACCCAGACCGCCAGCUAAGGUCCCAAAGUCAUGGUUAAGUGGGAAACGAUGUGGGAAGGCCCAGACAGCCAGGAUGUUGGCUUAGAAGCAGCCAUCAUUUAAAGAAAGCGUAAUAGCUCACUGGUCGAGUCGGCCUGCGCGGAAGAUGUAACGGGGCUAAACCAUGCACCGAAGCUGCGGCAGCGACGCUUAUGCGUUGUUGGGUAGGGGAGCGUUCUGUAAGCCUGUGAAGGUGUGCUGUGAGGCAUGCUGGAGGUAUCAGAAGUGCGAAUGCUGACAUAAGUAACGAUAAAGCGGGUGAAAAGCCCGCUCGCCGGAAGACCAAGGGUUCCUGUCCAACGUUAAUCGGGGCAGGGUGAGUCGACCCCUAAGGCGAGGCCGAAAGGCGUAGUCGAUGGGAAACAGGUUAAUAUUCCUGUACUUGGUGUUACUGCGAAGGGGGGACGGAGAAGGCUAUGUUGGCCGGGCGACGGUUGUCCCGGUUUAAGCGUGUAGGCUGGUUUUCCAGGCAAAUCCGGAAAAUCAAGGCUGAGGCGUGAUGACGAGGCACUACGGUGCUGAAGCAACAAAUGCCCUGCUUCCAGGAAAAGCCUCUAAGCAUCAGGUAACAUCAAAUCGUACCCCAAACCGACACAGGUGGUCAGGUAGAGAAUACCAAGGCGCUUGAGAGAACUCGGGUGAAGGAACUAGGCAAAAUGGUGCCGUAACUUCGGGAGAAGGCACGCUGAUAUGUAGGUGAAGCGACUUGCUCGUGGAGCUGAAAUCAGUCGAAGAUACCAGCUGGCUGCAACUGUUUAUUAAAAACACAGCACUGUGCAAACACGAAAGUGGACGUAUACGGUGUGACGCCUGCCCGGUGCCGGAAGGUUAAUUGAUGGGGUCAGCGCAAGCGAAGCUCUUGAUCGAAGCCCCGGUAAACGGCGGCCGUAACUAUAACGGUCCUAAGGUAGCGAAAUUCCUUGUCGGGUAAGUUCCGACCUGCACGAAUGGCGUAAUGAUGGCCAGGCUGUCUCCACCCGAGACUCAGUGAAAUUGAACUCGCUGUGAAGAUGCAGUGUACCCGCGGCAAGACGGAAAGACCCCGUGAACCUUUACUAUAGCUUGACACUGAACAUUGAGCCUUGAUGUGUAGGAUAGGUGGGAGGCUUUGAAGUGUGGACGCCAGUCUGCAUGGAGCCGACCUUGAAAUACCACCCUUUAAUGUUUGAUGUUCUAACGUUGACCCGUAAUCCGGGUUGCGGACAGUGUCUGGUGGGUAGUUUGACUGGGGCGGUCUCCUCCUAAAGAGUAACGGAGGAGCACGAAGGUUGGCUAAUCCUGGUCGGACAUCAGGAGGUUAGUGCAAUGGCAUAAGCCAGCUUGACUGCGAGCGUGACGGCGCGAGCAGGUGCGAAAGCAGGUCAUAGUGAUCCGGUGGUUCUGAAUGGAAGGGCCAUCGCUCAACGGAUAAAAGGUACUCCGGGGAUAACAGGCUGAUACCGCCCAAGAGUUCAUAUCGACGGCGGUGUUUGGCACCUCGAUGUCGGCUCAUCACAUCCUGGGGCUGAAGUAGGUCCCAAGGGUAUGGCUGUUCGCCAUUUAAAGUGGUACGCGAGCUGGGUUUAGAACGUCGUGAGACAGUUCGGUCCCUAUCUGCCGUGGGCGCUGGAGAACUGAGGGGGGCUGCUCCUAGUACGAGAGGACCGGAGUGGACGCAUCACUGGUGUUCGGGUUGUCAUGCCAAUGGCACUGCCCGGUAGCUAAAUGCGGAAGAGAUAAGUGCUGAAAGCAUCUAAGCACGAAACUUGCC
rnacentral:rRNA from 1 species